rnacentral:rRNA from 1 species
CCUACGGGUGGCAGCAGUGGGGGAUAUUGCACAAUGGGGGAAACCCUGAUGCAGCGACGCCGCGUGGGUGAAGAAGCGCCUCGGCGCGUAAAGCCCUGUCAGCAGGGAAGAAAAUGACGGUACCUGAAGAAGAAGCCCCGGCUAACUACGUGCCAGCAGCCGCGGUAAUACGUAGGGGGCAAGCGUUAUCCGGAUUUACUGGGUGUAAAGGGGGCGCAGACGGCGAUGCAAGCCAGGAGUGAAAGCCCGGGGCCCAACCCCGGGACUGCUCUUGGAAAGGCGUGGCUAGGGGGAAGGAGGGGCAGGCGGAAGUCCUGGUGUAGCGGUGAAAUGCGUAGAUAUCAGGAGGAACACCGGUGGUGAAGGCGGCCUGCUGGACUGCAACUGACGUUGAGGCCCGAAAGCGUGGGGAGCAAACAGGAUUAGAUACCCGUGUAGUC